AACCCUCUUGGUUUGUUAUUCCACGCUAAUAAUUCCGCUGCAGCCGAUUCUAACACUCCGCCUUCAUCAAAUGUGGGUACCUGUACAGUUUCACAUUAAUUGGGUCCACUCCCUCCUUGAUAGGUAUUUUGUGGUCUCUGUGUCUGAUAUGAGGAAGUUCCUUUGGUUCCCUGAGAAUCCCAUCAAACUCACCCAAGAUUUGCUCUAAGUCUUCAAUCUGGUUGUGAGUCAAAUGCAUCACUCCCCUACCUCAAUCUUUCAAUUCUGUUUGACUCAACCCCUAUACCAAAGUGAUUGCCUCUAUCUCCUUUUCCUUCAGUAAAGCUUUUGGAGACACCACCUUCCUUGUCAAAGGAGGGUCCCCCCUUUUCAUCCCUUCCUCAACCUUUUGACUAAAUUAUAUUGUCAGGUUCGCCCGAUUAAUUUUAACUUCUCCUAGCAAUGCAACCAAGCUACCCCCAAUACGAGGUCUACUCCUUCUAACUCAAACAGGUAAAAACUCUCACUGACUUCCACCCCUUCCAAGAC
rnacentral:lncRNA from 1 species